rnacentral:rRNA from 1 species
UAGGGAAUCUUCCGCAAUGGGCGAAAGCUUGACGGAGCAACGCCGCGUGAGUGAUGAAGGUCUUCGGAUCGUAAAACUCUGUUAUUAGGGAAGAACAAAUGUGUAAGUAACUAUGCACGUCUUGACGGUACCUAAUCAGAAAGCCACGGCUAACUACGUGCCAGCAGCCGCGGUAAUACGUAGGUGGCAAGCGUUAUCCGGAAUUAUUGGGCGUAAAGCGCGCGUAGGCGGUUUUUUAAGUCUGAUGUGAAAGCCCACGGCUCAACCGUGGAGGGUCAUUGGAAACUGGAAAACUUGAGUGCAGAAGAGGAAAGUGGAAUUCCAUGUGUAGCGGUGAAAUGCGCAGAGAUAUGGAGGAACACCUGUGGCGAAGGCGACUUUCUGGUCUGUAACUGACGCUGAUGUGCGAAAGCGUGGGGAUCAAACAGG